GCAAGUCGCGUGCGCAGUUCCUGUAGCAAUACGGGGAUGGGCGCACGGCGCACGGGUGCGUAACACGUGGGCAAUCUGCCCUCCGAUGGGGAAUAACCCCGCGAAAGCGGGGCUAAUUCCGCAUAACAUUCCUUGGACCAACGUUCGAGGAUUCAAAGCAGUAAUGCGUCGGAGGAGGAGCCCGCGCCCGAUUAGCUAGUUGGUGAGGUAACGGCUCACCAAGGCAAUGAUCGGUAGCUGGUCUGAGAGGAUGGCCAGCCACACUGGAACUGAGACACGGUCCAGACUCCUACGGGAGGCAGCAGUGGGGAAUCUUGCACAAUGGGCGAAAGCCUGAUGCAGCGACGCCGCGUGGGGGAUGAAGCUUCUCGGAGUGUAAACCCCUUUCGACUGGGACGAAUGCCUCGCAAGAGGAGUGACGGUACCAGUAUAAGAAGCCCCGGCUAACUACGUGCCAGCAGCCGCGGUAAGACGUAGGGGGCCAGCGUUGUUCGGAAUUACUGGGUGUAAAGGGUUCGUAGGCGGUGUGGCAAGUUGGGAGUGAAAUCUCUGGGCUCAACCCAGAGGCUGCUUCCAAAACUGCUGUGCUUGAGUGUGAGAGAGGCGCGUGGAAUUGCACGUGUAGCGGUG
rnacentral:rRNA from 1 species